UCCUGGCUCAGGACGAACGCUGGCGGCGUGCUUAACACAUGCAAGUCGAACGGUAAGGCCCCUUUUUUUGGGGUGUACGAGUGGCGAACGGGUGAGUAACACGUGAGUAACCUGCCCCAGACUUUGGGAUAACAGUUGGAAACGAUUGCUAAUACUGGAUAUGAGCUGCUGCCGCAUGGUGGUGGUUUGAAAGUUCCGGCGGUUUGGGAUGGGCUCGCGGCCUAUCAGCUUGUUGGUGAGGUGAUGGCUUACCAAGGCUUCGACGGGUAGCCGGCCUGAGAGGGCGACCGGCCACAUUGGGACUGAGAUACGGCCCAAACUCCUACGGGAGGCAGCAGUGGGGAAUAUUGCACAAUGGACGGAAGUCUGAUGCAGCAACGCCGCGUGCGGGAUGACGGCCUUCGGGUUGUAAACCGCUUUCAAUUGUGACGAAGCUUUUUGUGACGGUAGCAGUAGAAGAAGCACCGGCUAACUACGUGCCAGCAGCCGCGGUGAUACGUAGGGUGCGAGCGUUGUCCGGAUUUAUUGGGCGUAAAGAGCUUGUAGGUGGUUUGUCGCGUCGGGAGUGAAAACUCAGGGCUUAACUCUGAGCUUGCUUUCGAUACGGGCUGACUUGAGGGAGGUAGGGGAGAAUGGAAUUCCUGGUGGAGCGGUGGAAUGCGCAGAUAUCAGGAGGAACACCGGUGGCGAAGGCGGUUCUCUGGACCUUUCCUGACGCUGAGAAGCGAAAGCGUGGGGAGCGAACAGGCUUAGAUACCCUGGUAGUCCACGCCGUAAACGGUGGGUACUAGGUGUGGGGGACAUUCCACGUUCUCCGUGCCGUAGCUAACGCAUUAAGUACCCCGCCUGGGGAGUACGGCCGCAAGGCUAAAACUCAAAGGAAUUGACGGGGACCCGCACAAGCGGCGGAGCAUGCGGAUUAAUUCGAU
rnacentral:rRNA from 1 species